rnacentral:rRNA from 1 species
UACGUAGGGGACAAGCGUUAUCCGGAUUUACUGGGUGUAAAGGGAGCGUAGGCGGCCAGACAAGUCAGAAGUGAAAGCCCGCGGCUCAACUGCGGGACUGCUUUUGAAACUGCCUGGCUAGAGUACUGGAGGGGUAAGCGGAAUUCCUGGUGUAGCGGUGAAAUGCGUAGAUAUCAGGAAGAACACCGGAGGCGAAGGCGGCUUACUGGACAGAGACUGACGCUGAGGCUCGAAGGCGUGGGGAG